UGGGGAAUCUUGGACAAUGGGGGGAACCCUGAUCCAGCCAUGCCGCGUGUGUGAAGAAGGCCUUAUGGUUGUAAAGCACUUUAAGCGAGGCGGCGGGUACUGGUAUUAAUACUACCAGGUACUGGACGUUACUCGCAGAAUAAGCACCGGCUAACUCUGUGCCAGCCGCCGCGGUAAUACAGAGGGUGCGAGCGUUAAUCGGAUUUACUGGGCGUAAAGCGUGCGUAGGCGGCUAAUUGAGUCGGAUGUGAAAUCCCCGAGCUUAACGUGGGAAUUGCAUUGGAGACUGGUUAGCUAGAAUAGGGGAGAGGGUGGUGGAAGUGCCUGUGUAGCGGUGAAAUGCGUAGAUAUAGGAAGGAACACCAGUGGCGAAGGCGACCACCGGGGAUCAUACUGACACUGAGGUGCGAAAGCGUGGGGAGCAAACAGG
rnacentral:rRNA from 1 species